UGAGCAAUCUGCCCUUCUCUUCGGAAUAAGCGUGGGAAACCGCGUCUAAUGCCGAAUACGACCUCCUUUCGCAUGAUCGGAGGUGGAAAGCUCCGGCGGAGAAGGAUGAGCUCGCGGCCUAUCAGCUAGUUGGUGUGGGUAAUGGCCCACCAAGGCGACGACGGGUAGCCGGCCUGGAGAGGGUGACCGGCCACACUGGGACUGAGACACCGGCCCAGACCUCCGUACGGGAGNAGCG
rnacentral:rRNA from 1 species